rfam:Azoarcus sp. KH32C DNA, complete genome.
UGUCUCCUCCACCCUCCUCCUUUGGUGUGGAUUUAACGCAGUCCCGAGAGGACUGCGUUUUUUUUU